rnacentral:rRNA from 1 species
GAUGAACGCUGGCGGCGUGCUUAACACAUGCAAGUCGAACGAAGCAAUUGAGUCGAUCCCUUCGGGGUGAAGCUUGAUUGACUGAGUGGCGGACGGGUGAGUAACGCGUGGGUAACCUACCUCAUACAGGGGGAUAACAGUUGGAAACGGCUGCUAAUACCGCAUAAGCAUACGGCAUCGCAUGAUGCAGUGUGAAAAACUCCGGUGGUAUGAGAUGGACCCGCGUCUGAUUAGCUAGUUGGUAAGGUAACGGCUUACCAAGGCGACGAUCAGUAGCCGGCCUGAGAGGGUGAACGGCCACAUUGGGACUGAGACACGGCCCAGACUCCUACGGGAGGCAGCAGUGGGGAAUAUUGCACAAUGGGGGAAACCCUGAUGCAGCGACGCCGCGUGAAGGAAGAAGUAUUUCGGUAUGUAAACUUCUAUCAGCAGGGAAGAAAAUGACGGUACCUGACUAAGAAGCCCCGGCUAAUUACGUGCCAGCCGCCGCAGUAAAAC